UAUGUGAUCGUCUCUCGCAUAUCAAUAAGCGGAGGAAAAGAAACUAACAAGGAUUCCCCUAGUAACGGCGAGUGAAGCGGGAAGAGCUCAAAUUUGAAAUCUUAAAGGGUUUCCCUUUACGAAUUGUAGUUCAAAGAAGUGUUUUCUGUUGAGGUUUUGGUAAAAGUUCUUUGGAAUAGGACAUCAUAGAGGGUGAGAAUCCCGUAUUUGACCUUUACUUUCAACUUUGUGAUACACUUUCAAAGAGUCGGAUUGUUUGGGAAUGCAGUCCAAAAUGGGUGGUAAAUUUCAUCUAAAGCUAAAUAUUGGCGAGAGACCGAUAGCGAACAAGUACCGUGAGGGAAAGAUGAAAAGAACUUUGAAAAGAGAGUUAAACAGUACGUGAAAUUGUCAAAAGGGAAGCGUUUGACACCAGUGUUGUUUUUCUGAAAAUCAAUUAAAGAACUGUUUAAGCUAAGCUGUUUAGACUUUAUCAGCUAUCUGUUUAGUUUUGAGCUUUUCUUUAAUGCACUUUUCAGUUAACAAGUCAACAUCAAUUUCUUUUGCUGUAAAAAGCUUGAGGAAGGUGGCUUGAGAUUCGUCUUAAGUGUUUAUAGCCUCUUGCCUAUGCAGUCGGAGAGAUUGAGGUCUGCAGCGUAGAUCCUUCGGGGCUAAAUGCAUUUGUGCUAAGUUAUAGCAUUUUAUAGACAACUUGUUGACUAUGAUUUGUCUUGUAGCUUACUCGCUUAUGUUAUUUUACCUACGCUUAGGAUGUUGACACACGCGCGUGCUCG
rnacentral:rRNA from 1 species